UUAAGUCCAGCGGGUAGUCCUACCUGAUUUGAGGUCAAAUUGUCAAAAUUGUCCAAGUCAAUGGACAGUUAGAAGCUGAACUUCAUAAAUCUGCUUCACAUCCACGGCGUAGAUAAUUAUCACACCAAUAGACGGUCCACAAAAGUUCCGCUAAUGUAUUUAAGGAGGGCCGACCUCAUUGAUGAAGCCCACAACCCCCA
rnacentral:misc_RNA from 1 species